rnacentral:rRNA from 1 species
GGGGGGGGGCAAGCGUUGUUCGGAAUUACUGGGCGUAAAGGGCGCGCAGGCGGCCUGGGCCAGUCCUACGUGAAAUCCCACAGCUCAACUGUGGAACUGCGUGGGAUACUGCCAGGCUUGAGUCCGGGAGAGGAGAGUGGAAUUCCCAGUGUAGCGGUGAAAUGCGUAGAUAUUGGGAGGAACACCGGUGGCGAAGGCGGCUCUCUGGACCGGUACUGACGCUGAGGCGCGAAAGCUAGGGGAGCAAACGGGAUUAGAUACCCCGGUAGUCCUAGCCGUAAACUUUGAGCACUUGGUGUGGCGGGUAUCGACCCCUGCCGUGCCGAAGCUAACGCAUUAAGUGCUCCGCCUGGGGAGUACGGUCGCAAAGGCUG